GAUGAACGCUGGCGGCGUGCCUAAUACAUGCAAGUCGAGCGGAGGACUUAGCAAUAGAGCCUUAGCGGCGAACGGGUGAGUAACGCGUUGGUGACCUGCCUCGAAGUUUGGGAUAACAGUUCGAAAGGACUGCUAAUACCGGAUGUGAUCAUCGGGAUCAGAAGCCGGGUGAUUAAAGGAGAAAUUCGCGUCGAGAGGGGCCUGCGUCCGAGCAGCUAGUUGGUAGGGUAAAGGGCUACCAAGGCGAUGACGGGUAGGGGACCUGAGAGGGUGGCCCCCCACAAUGGAACUGAAACACGGUCCAUACACCUACGGGUGGCAGCAGUAGGGAAUAUUGCAUAAUGGGCGAAAGCCUGAUGCAGCAACGCCGCGUGUGCGAUGAAGGCCUUCGGGUCGUAAAGCACUUUUGAAGGGGAUGAGGAAGGACAGUACCCUUCGAAUAAGCUUCGGCUAACUACGUGCCAGCCGCCGCUGUAAUAC
rnacentral:rRNA from 1 species